UCGUCCGCCGCAGAUCCGGCACCGUCCUGCUCCUCCUCGCCGCCAUACUCGCAGCGGCCGUCGUCGCCUCCGCCUCCGCCAUCAGCGACAAGUGCGCCGCCUGCAAGGCCGUCGCGGUGAGCUCCUCCCCUAAUCUCCCCUGAUCAAAGGUUGCAGCCGGAUUGGAUUCUUCUUGCACCUUCUUGCCAAGUUGCCAGUAUAAUCUGGGUGACAUGAGUUUGCACUCCUCUGUCCACCCGUUUGAGCACAGAAUUUUGUCAAAUUUAUAUACAGUUGGUUGCACUCAGAGUAGCCUUGUUAACCGAAGCCUUUGGGUCGCGUCAAAAAAUAAAUAUAGAAAGCCUUUGGGAGGUGAAGAUCUGCUUGCUAGGAGUUUAACUGUAGAUAUUCAGUAGGAGCAUUGGUUUCUGGCAAAAUUAUGUUGUUUCUUGUCUUAAUCAGCUAUAAUCAGAAGAUGCAUCUACGCCCAGUUUGGUGCCUGGCAAAACUUGAUUUUUAUUUUUGUAGAACGAUCGAUGUUAGUAAAAAAUUGUUCAUGGAUCAAAGGUUGGCAAGGUUUACCACCGUACUAUAUAAAUGGCGCUACCUCCCAGAUGCAUGUGAGAGGGGGUGUUUUACUUUCAUUGCUUUAAUGUGUAGAAUUAUUAUACAGAUUAGGUUGGAUUGUUUUCUUGCUCUUAAGAUGGCAUUUUAUCUAAUUCCCUUCUCUUUGUUGUAAUAGUUCACAGUGGCAGCAGUAGUGAACUACUAAGUACAUGCAUUUUCUUCUCGUGUUAACAUUUCUCUAUUAUUCACCAGCUUAGGUCUGAAGCACUUGUCACUCUCAAUGUGUGGUCGAUAUGGAAUUUAAGGCCAUAUGUCAUCCUGAGAUAGUUAGAUGCACAUGCUUGGUUCAUCCUGUUUGUUGAGGAUGAUAUAUAUGUUCCCUUUAUCUGUUUUGUGCAAAUGGAGUUCUGUAUGAAAGUGAUAUUUGUGGCUGCUAGAGCAACUCUCAAGAAUUGCUCUAGGGUAUGCAUUUUUCUGUUGUGAAAGUUCUGUCCUGUUGCUUGUGAAAGUUCUGUCCUGUUGCAUAUAGAAUUUCGACUUCAAAUAAAGAGCUGAAUACGAGUUAUGUAGGUUGGUGUUCCAAGUUUUAACAUUUUUUUAUGUUAUCCUGGCAGGAAAGUGGAGCAGCUAUCUGAGGAGGUUGAGGAAUGUCUACCUCAGAGGGUUCUGAGACUGCCGAUUCCAUGGAUGAGGAUACGAGUCAAGUAUCACAUGGUAGAAGGUCCAAAGUGGUUUAGCAUGGUGGUGCGGAAGUGCCUCGGCUUGGCUGGGGGAGCUACACACCUUAUCCACAUUGAUGAUCGAUGGGGUUCUGUUUCUGAUUGCUGAUCGAUGGGGUUAUGUUUCAUGUUAAGUGCUACCUGAUGUGAACUAGCUACUAAGUCAAGUGUUUAGUCUAAGCGUCCGAAGAAGGUCCGUUAGGUUACUAUAUCGAUAUGCUGCUGUAAGACUGUAGGUUUUGAGAUGCCUGGAAACAUCACAGGCUUAAACUACUUGGUUUAAUCACCUUGUGUUUGGUAUUCAUCUUGUGGAUGCA